rnacentral:rRNA from 1 species
CCGGUCGGGGAUGGGCCCGCGGCCUAUCAGCUUGUUGGUGGGGUAACGGCCCACCAAGGCGACGACGGGUAGCCGGCCUGAGAGGGUGAACGGCCACACUGGGACUGAGACACGGCCCAG